rnacentral:rRNA from 1 species
CAGUCGCCACGGGAAUACGUAGGGUGCAAGCGUUAAUCGGAAUUACUGGGCGUAAAGCGUGCGCAGGCGGUUAUAUAAGACAGAUGUGAAAUCCCCGGGCUCAACCUGGGAACUGCAUUUGUGACUGUAUAGCUAGAGUACGGCAGAGGGGGAUGGAAUUCCGCGUGUAGCAGUGAAAUGCGUAGAUAUGCGGAGGAACACCGAUGGCGAAGGCAAUCCCCUGGGCUUGUACUGACGCUCAUGCACGAAAGCGUGGGGAGCAAACAGGAUUAGAUACCCGCGUAGUCCCUGUCUCUUAUAC